rnacentral:miRNA from 17 species
AUAAGCCGCCGGAUCUCCUAGUGAGGAGGCCGGGACCGCCGGAUCCGGUGACCCCGGUCUCCUCGCCGGCGGAUCCGUGUCAGAA